CCCUUAGAUGUUCUGGGCUGCACACGUGCUACACUGGCAGGUUCAGCGAGCUUCAUGCCCUGAUCUGAAAGGAAUGGGAAAUCUUUUCAAAACCUGCCGUGCUUGGGAUAGAUGUUUGCAAUUAUUCAUCCUCAACGAGGAUUGCCUUGUAAGCGCACGUCAUCAGCGUGCAUUGAAUACGACCCUGUAUUCUGUACACACCGCCCGUCGCUCCUACCGAUUGAAGUUUUCGGUGAGUUGACAGGAGGAUUUUUUUGAAACUGGUUCGCCAGUGGAUUUUAGAUCCAAAUGCCAACGAAUCGAUGGCUUUAGAGGAGGGAGAAGUCGUAACA
rnacentral:rRNA from 1 species